rnacentral:lncRNA from 1 species
GCCAAGGCUACUCGUCUCCGUGAGGCAGCUAUUCAGGAAGUGGCUGCAGCGCUCCCGUAUAACCCCCAUUAUGAUUUUGGGUUCUGCCAGGACCAUCCUUGGGAGUAGACCAAUUUAGGCCAAAAGCCUAAGCUUGGGGGAGUACGUGUUCUCACCAACUUUACAUUUUUGCUUAUGCUUUCACUUUGUUAGCCGGUGUUCACACUUUGCCACUGUAUCAUCCAUGCUAGUUUAUUUUCUUUUUCUUGUUUUCUUUUCGUGUGUCUGUCUAGUUUGAGAAAACCCAAAAAGAUUUUCUUUUUCUUCUUUUGCUUGUUGGGAGCUUCCCCGUGUAGAUAGUUUUAUUUUUCUUUGGGUCAAGGUAGAAGAUAUUGGUUACAAUGUUUAGUGGCUCUUGCAUGCAUACCUGUUUAGCUUUCAAAGAGACAUAUUACUUUGUCUUCUCCUUUGUGUUUGCCUGCAGAUUCCAGCUUUAGUCCAAUGCACGAGCACGCUUAUUAUUGUUCACAUCGUUCGGUCGUGCAAGUGAAAGGCAAUAAUGAUGAUAUAUGAUGAAGUGACUGAGCCUGGAAAAGCUGGUAUGAACUCGAUCUAUUUUGUUUUUGUAAAUAUGACUAGCUCGUCAUGCCUGAUUCAGCUUUGUUGUGAGAGAAACAUGUUUGCAAUGACAACUUAGAGAUCAUAGUUGCUUAUGCCAUGCUUAUUUAGCUAGGAGCUUAUAAUGGUUUGUCUUGGUUGCCCACAUGAAUGUUGAGAUGACUAUGAUGUAGUAUGAUAGGAUGGUAUCCUCCUUUGAAUGUUUCAAGUGGCUUGACUAGGCGCAUGUUCACGCAUGUAGUUGAAACAAAAUCAACAUAGCCUCUAUGAUGUUCAUGUUCAUGGUGAUUUAUGUCCUACUCAUGCUUGUACUCAAUGUUAGUUAAUCUCAAUGCAUUUUGAUGACUGUUGUCGCUCUCUAGUUGGUCGCUUCCCAGUCUUUUGCUAGCCUUCACUUGUACUAAGCAGGAAUACUGCUUGUGCAUCCACUUCCCUAAACCCAAAGUUGUGCCAUAUGAGUCCACCAUACCUACCUAUGUGCGGUAUCUACCUGUCGUUCCAAGUAAAUUUGCAUGUGCCACUCUCUAAAUCUUCAAGAAAUAAUCUGUUUUGCAUGCCCGAACCGCUCAUGUGGUGACAGGGGGCUAUUGCUAUCUUCCAUGCUAUGCGUGUUAUCCUCGAUAUGUGUUUAUUCACUAUCAUUCACGAGAAAGGGGCCGGUAAUUGGAAUUCCCAGUUCCAUGCUCAAAUCAAAAGAUAAUUGCAAACAAAACUCCCCCGGGAUUGAUGUUGGUAUGGACAGUACCCGAGGAUUCGGCUGGCCGUGGAGUGUGAUUGAUUGGUGGUGGGGGAGUCAAAACUUUACUUUUCUGUUUGGGAACCGCCUAUAGCAUGUGUAGCGUGGAAGAUGUUGAGAACUCUUAGUCAUUGCGUUGACAAUGAAAGCAUGCCACCCAAAAUUAUUAUCUCUGUUUUGAAAGCUUGAGCUCUGGCACCUCUACAAAUCAAUGCUUCCCUCUACGAAGGGCCUGUCUAUUUAUGUUCCUGUUGAGUCAUCCUCCUCUUACAAAAGCACCAAUUAGAGAGCACCUCUGUCAUUUUUAUGCCUUGCUUUUAACUGUGUUGAGUAUGACUAUGACUGGAUCUUCAUUGCCUUGAAUUACAAUGUUUAGUCAGCCCUUGGUCUUCGAAGGUGCUCUGCAUUUAUGUUUUGUGGUCUCAGAAAGAGCUAGCGAGAUACCAUCUAUUCAUACUGCUUCAUGUUGUUUUGAUUGAAGUGUUGACACUUGAGGCUUAUUAUUAUUUGCUCGCUAGCUGAUUAUGCCAUUGAUAUGAGUUUACCGUGAGACCUAGAUGUCAUUUGCUUAUGUGGUUUGAUUGUGAUCUUGCUGAAAUUCUGGUUAUGAGUUAGACAUAGUUGCAACAACAAGAUCAAACAGAGUUCGUCAAAGUUUUUCUUUUGUCUCUUUCAGUUUGUCAACUGAAUUGCUUGAGGACAAGCAAGGCUUUAAGCUUGGGGGAGUUGAUACGCCUCCGUCGUAUCUACUUUUUCGAACUCUUUUGCCCCUGUUUUGGACUCUACUUUGCAUGAUUUGAACGUAACUAACCCGGACUGACGUUGUUUUCACCAGAAUUGCCAUGGUGUUGUUUUUGUGCAGAAAUAAAAGUUCUCGGAAUGUCCUGGAAAUUUACGGAGAUUUUUUCUCGAAUAAAAGAAAAAUACAUGCGCAAAGAUCCACCGAAGGGGGCGUGCCAGUGGGCCACAAGCCCACAGGCCGCAGCCACUCCCUAGGUCACGCCGUGCAGGCUUGUGGGGCCCACGUGGCACCACCGCCCCCAAACUCAGCUUUAUUUAUUCCGUCUCGCCCGGAAAAAAAUCAGAGAGAAGGUUUCAUCGCGUUUUGUGAUACGGAGGCGCCGCCACUUCCCGUUCUUCAUCUGGAGGGCAGAUCUGGAGUCCGUUUCGGGCUCCGGAGAGGGGAAAUCGUCGUCAUGGUUAUCAUCAACCUUUCUCCAUCGACAAUUCCAUGAUGCUCUUCAUCGUUCNNNNNNNNNNGAGUAAUCUCAUCGUAGGCUUGCUGGACGGUGAUGAGUUGGAUGAGAUCUAUCAUGUAAUCGAGUUAGUUUUUGACGGGGAUUGAUCCCUAGUAUCCACUAUGUUCUAGAUUUAUGUUGCUACUCUUGGCUAUGCUUAAUGCUUGUCACUAGGGCCCGAGUGCCAUGAUUUCAGAUCUGAACCUAUUAUGUUGUCGCCAAUAUAUGUGUGUUUUAGAUCCUAUCUUGCAAGUUGUAGUCACCUACUAUGUGUUAUGACCCGGCAACCCCGGAGUGACAAUAGCCGGAACCACUCCCGGAGAUGACCAUAGUAUGAGGAUUUCAUGUAUUCACCGCGUGUUAAUGCAUUGGUCCGGUUCUUUAUUAAAAGGAGAACCUUAAUAUCCCGUAGUUUCCAUUAGGACCCCGCUGCCACAGGAGGGAUGGACAAUAGAUGUCAUGCAAGUUCUUUUCCCUAAGCACGUAUGACUACAUACGGAAUACAUGCCUACAUUAGAUUGACGAACGGGAGCUAGUUACUUAUCUCUCUGUGUUAUAGCUGUUACAUGAUGAAUCACAUCCGUAAUACUCAUCCAUCACCGAUCCACUGCCUACGAGUCUUUUACUACUGGUUCUCGCUAAGUUACUUUGUCUAGGCUUGUCCCUUGCUACAAAAGUGAUUGGGCCACUUUGCUGCUGCUGUCACUACUGUUGUUACUUGUUACUUUGCUGUUGCUGCUACUGCUGCUCCUUACUACUCCACUGUUACUUGUUGCAAGACUUUGUUGGCGCCGUUGUCGAGGCUAGGUAAGCGACACUAACAUCCCGUCAACAAGGCUUUUUCUAGCAUCGUUGCUAUCGUACUACCUUGCUACUGAUACUUUGCUUGCAGAUACUAAUCUUUCAGGUGUGGUUGAAUCUGACACAUUCAGCUGCUAAUACUUAAGAAUAUUCUUUCGCUUCCCGUCUUGGAAAAUCAAUAAAUUUCUGUUUAAUACUCUACCCUCAAAAACUGUUGCGAUCCCAUAUGCUUGUGGGACAUCAAGCAUCAGAGACAAAGGCAUCGUUUGGACUCUCAGGUGUAGCAGCAACAGGGUUGCUAGCGUGCAGGUUCCUAUCAUCUUUCUUCUUCUUUCUAGGAUGACUAGGUGCAUCAGUGCUAACUCCUUGAGAAUCUUGUUCAAUUCUCAUCGGAUGACCCUCAGGAUACAGAGGUUCCUGGGUCAAUCUACCGCCUCUAGUGACGACUCUGAUAGAAUUAUCAUUCAACUCAUUAAGCAAGUCGUUCUGAGCUUUAAGUACUUGUUUUACCUGAGUAGUAACCAUAGAAGCAUGUUUACUCAGAAGUUUAAGAUCAUUGACAUUUAUGUCCACACAAGCACUUAAAUGACUAAGCAUACGAGCAUUCUUUUCCAAUUGUCUGCUAACAUAAUCAUUGAAACUUUGUUGUUUGGCAGCGAAGUUAUCAAAUUCAUCCAUGCAUAAGCUAGCAGGUUUAUCAAAAGGAAUAUCACUCUCAUCAAACCUACGCAUAGAAUUUACUUCUACUACCUGUAUCGGGUUAUCGAGACCAUGGAUCUCUUCUAUAGGUGGUAGAUUUUUGACAUCUUCAGAUUUAAUGCCUUUCUCUCGCAUACAUUUCUUGGCUUCUUGCAUAUCUUCNNNNNNNNNNGUUCAUGUAUUCACCGCGUGUUAAUGCGUUGGUCCGGUUCUUUAUUAAAAGGAGAAACUUAAUAUCCCGUAGUUUCCAUUAGGACCCCGCUGCCACGGGAGGGAUGGACAAUAGAUGUCAUGCAAGUUCUUUUCCCUAAGCACGUAUUACUACAUAUGGAAUACAUGCCUACAUUAGAUCGACGAACGGGAGCUAGUUACUUAUCUCUACGUGUUAUAGCUGUUACAUGAUGAAUCAUAUCCGUCAUACUCAUCCAUCAUCGAUCCACUGCCUACGAGUCUUUUACUACUGGUCCUCGCUAUGUUACUUUGUCUAGGCUUGUCCCUUGCUACAAAAGGGAUUGGGCCACUUUGUUGCUGCUGUCACUUUGCUACUACUGUUGCUACUGCUGUUACUCUGCUGCUGCUAUUACUGUUGUCCCUUGCUACAUCACUGCUACUUGUUGCAAGACUUUUUUGGAGCCGUUGCCUGGGAAGAAUAGUUCCCCGUCCACGUGCUCUUUACUAGCGCCAUUGAUACAACAGUUAGGAAUAGUCUGUCGUCAACAGAUCGUUUCUGGCACCGUUGCUAUCAUACCACUUUGCUACUGACACUUUGCUUGCAGACACUAAUCUUUCAGGUGUGGUUGAAUCUGACAAACUCAGCUACUAAUGCUUGAGAAUAUUCUUUCGAUUCCCGUCUUGGUGAAUCAACAAAUUUGGGUUGAAUACUCUACCCUCGAAAACUGCUGCGAUCCCAUACGCUUGUGGGUCAUCAGGGUCCCACCCGUCAGGUUUGAAUUUCCACCGACGAUAGAGACUUGCGGUGGUCGCCGAUGUUGAUUCAAGGCAUGGCAGGGCAACCAAGGGCACAUGUGCACUCACCGUGUCCUUAUGUGUUGAUGGCAGGUUGAACAGGUCGUCGGCAAGCACCACGUCGACAACGUAUUCUUCUCCUGUGCACGGCGGCGUCGGGCGUCACACGAUCUCACCAGAGGGAACUCCUACCAUCAAACUGAGGCGCGGCUUAGGGGAAUGGACUCAACAGGAGGCUACAGGCUAAUUUUGGGGCGCUCAGCUCCACUCACCGAAGGGAAUUUUGCCGGGACCCGAGUCGGAUCGAGGCGGCCGGAGUCGAGGAAGAAGACCUCCCCGGGCUUUCUUCUGGCUUGAGUGUGGCUCUGAGAGGAGGGGGAUAACUGCUCGGGACCUCCUAGGUACUAAGGUGUACUAGGGGUAAUUUACUUGAGGUCAAUUUCAAAAGGAAUCUAGCACUUCCUUUGCAAAUCUCGAGACCCCGAAAUAAAAGGCAGAAGUGGAUUUUAAAAUAUUUUAUGAAGAAGAAAGUAUUUUUCCUAGUUGGCAAAAUUUUGAAAAGUUGGAUUGCCUUCCUAGGUCAGAGAGAAACUUGAGAGAAGAAGGGUUUGAAAUGCAAGGCAAGCCAAGAGUGAAAUAGUUCUCAAGUUAAAGCAUUUGGAAAAUAUUUCCUCCAAGGUAUUCUCACAUAAAACAAUGAAAAUGCCAAGGAGAAAUUUUUGUAGGCAAGAAACCUUAACAGAAGUAUUUGAAGACCAGAUUCAAAGUUGAUUUGGAGUUUUUGUCAAAAAGAUUUUGGAAAUUCACUUUUAAAAUAAUAAAAAUCAAAAAAAUCCAAAUUGAAAAAUUAUGAGUGUUACAUCAGGUCUACCCGUUGCAACGUCUCGCACAAUCCCUCGAGUGAUCGUUGUACCUAUACAUGUAAACAGUUCCCAAGUUAGGUCAUGUUUGGAACCACAAUAGAUUAUGAUAAUCUGGAUUAUGAAGAUAGAUUAUAUAAUCUAGUUUAUAAAAAUAAUCUAGAUGAGCAUGUUUGAAGGUCGGAUUAUAUAAACUGUAAUCCAAUUUUUACAUUACAUAAUGACCUGUGUGUCCUCUAUUUUUUAAAAAAGGAGGAUGGCGGUGGCAGGAAUGUAAUUAUCUCCAACUUUACAAGGGUAGUGGGUCAUUAGCAAUCUAUAAUCUGAUUUUAGCUGGGUAGUGUAGAUUGUGAGUUUUUAAUAAUAUGUCCAUCUAGUUUUUAUAAUUUACACCUAAUCUGUCAUGUUUGAAGGCAUAAUAAACUAUAAAAACUGAAUUAUAUAAUCUGAGUGAUUCCAAACAGGGCCUUAAUACCGGACAGAGUGUGUGAGUUGCAUUGUCUAUCUCUCUACAGCUUGCCGGCUCCACUGUAGCUCCUAAGGGGCAACCUCACCUUCGCUGUCGUCCAUUCAAGAGGCCCGGUCCACGAAAAGCGCUAAGUUGUUUUCUUGUGUGUCUACUUCCUUUCUUAGGUCAACAACUUAAGUCCAGUGCUUUAGCAGUUUAGCUAGUUUAGUUCUAGACUUCUAGUUAGUAGCUAGUGUAGUUUGAGAUAUAAUUAAUCCAUAAACUAAUUUCUAGCCUUAUUUGAUUGUUUCAUUUUUUUAGACCCGGAAUAAUUCUAAUAAAUACCACAUAUUUUCAAGAUUAACGUGGCAAUGUAGCAAAAUUACAAUUUAUUUACACAAAAAGAAUUAGAAAAUAAUGAUUUUUUUAAAAGUUUUUAGUUUUUUCACCAUAAAGUUUGAACACAUCCUUUAUUUUUUUCUAGAUUCGCCACUGAAUUCACAACACCCAAAACCCUUGUGUGAAGUGAUACUCUUGUGUGCAAAAACAACCCGAGGAAACCGAAAAAGGGAAUCGUUUUCCACCCGCGCGUCGGUCACCCCCUCGCGCGCGUGGACCCAUGCAACAUUUUUUCCAUCCGCCUGCUUCGUUGUUCACUGGAUGCAACAUUUUUCGUCUAAAUAUGUUGCAACCAGCGUCAUAUUUGCUGCAAGCGUUUUUUACUAUUUUUUUGUCCCAGUAAAAAAACUGCAUAUACGUUUGGUUGCAACUCCAGUUCAUCGGAUCUUUUGUUACAAUCGAUUUUUUUUUACUUUUGCUACAACCGUGUUAAUUUUUGCUACAACCGACAUCAUGUUUUGCUGCAACCGUUCACUAAAAAAGUUGCAUACACGUCACGUAAAUAUUUGCUACAACCGACGUUUGAUUUUUGCUACCACGCACCACCAGCUUUGUUUUUUUGUUACGAUCACGUAGAUAUUUUUUUUGCUAUAAAUUUUGUUUUUUGUUGCAACCGUUAAAAAAAUUAUUGCAUCGCAUCGAAAUUUUGAUGUAUAGAUAAAAAAAUGUUGCAUGCGAAUUCAAUGAUGCAGACGACGCGGAGUUGAUGAAUCCUACGGCUCUCGCGCGGCCGGUCGGAAGUUUGGGCCGGCGAGCUGGCGCAGAUCGGUCCCACGGAAAAAUCGCCGUGUCACCCCUCCUUAUCCUCUUCGUUUCCUUUUUCGAUUUUGCCUCCCCACUCCAUUGUCGACGGUCACGGCGGCAAGGCCACCGCCGCCAAGUGGAAGACGGCUCGACACCUACUUCCUCCGCCUCCCAGAUUCCCGCGGCACCAUCUUCGCACGCCUCGCCGCCGGACGCUCCCCCGAGCCCCUCCCGUCGGAGCACGCCACCUCCAAGGUAUUCUUCUCCCACAGCCCUCUUCCGCACCCCCCUCCCCCCCGUACUGAACUGGAGUGGAGAUCCAUCUGGGAUUGGGAUUGGGUCGAUUCCUUCCGCCGGCUAAGUAAUCUAGCUUGCUUGGAUAGUUCGAAGAAGUUUGUUCUACUCUUCGCUGCUGUGAGCAAUCUAAUCUAAAUCGUUCUGUUUGAGAUGAGAUGCUCCAGUUGAUCCCAUGGGUCGAUUUCUUUUACGGCAGUGGAUCCAGUUUCCGGCGGGUUCGUUUGCUCGUUCUUGGCAGAGUAAUGGUAGCUCGUUGCAGGUUAUAACUAGUUAUUAACGACCAUGCUGUUUGACGCUUGCAGAUCACUCGGAUUCCUGGGGUGCUGAUCGCGGAGGAAGGAGAAGAUGGGCAGCGUGGACAAGUUCAGAUUCUGCAUUGAUCGGGGCGGCACGUUCACCGACAUCUACGCCGAGGUCCCCGGCAAGCCGGAAGGCUAUGUUAUGAAGCUCCUCUCCGUCGACCCGUCCAACUACGACGAUGCUCCGAUCGAGGGGAUCAGGAGGAUUCUAGAGGAGUUUUCUGGUGAAAGAAUCCCCCGGUCGUCCAAGAUCCCAACCGGCAUGAUCGACUGGAUCCGGAUGGGCACCACGGUAGCCACGAACGCUCUUCUUGAGAGGAAGGGUGAGAGGAUCGCGCUCUGUGUCACCCGGGGCUUUA